AUAGAUGUAGCUCAGCGGUAGAACAUGUGUCUAGCGUGCACAAGGUCCUGGGUUCAAUCCCCAGUACCUCCA
rnacentral:tRNA from 1 species